rnacentral:tRNA from 1 species
GGAGGGGUGGCCGAGAGGCUGAAGGCGGCGGAUUGCUAAUCCGUUAUACGGAGAAAUUCGUAUCGUGGGUUCGAAUCCCAUCCCCUCCGCCA